rnacentral:tRNA from 1 species
GCAGAUAUAGUUUAAUGGCAGAACUCCGGAUUUGUAACCCGGUAAUACAAGUUCGACUCUUGUUAUCUGCUCCA